rnacentral:rRNA from 1 species
GAUGAACGCUGGCGGCGUGCUUAACACAUGCAAGUCGAACGGAAAGGCCAGUCCUUGCACUGGUACUCGAGUGGCGAACGGGUGAGUAACACGUGGGUGAUCUGCCCUGCACUUCGGGAUAAGCCUGGGAAACUGGGUCUAAUACCGGAUAGGACCAUGGUCUGGAUGCCGUUGUGGAAAGUUUUUUCGGUGUGGGGUGAGCUCGCGGCCUAUCAGCUUGUUGGGGGGGUAAUGGCCUACCACGGCGUCGACGGGUAGCCGGCCUGGGAGGGUGUACGGCCACAUUGGGACGGAGAUACGGCCCAGACACCUACGGGGGGCAGCAGUGGGGAAUAUUGCACAAUGGGGGCAAGCCUGAUGCAGCGACGCCGCGUGGGGGAUGACGGCCUUCGGGUUGUAAACUCCUUUCGCUAGGGACGAAGCGUAUUUGUGACGGUACCUGGAGAAGAAGCACCGGCUAACUACGUG